CUGGGUUUUUACGUCCAAGAUGCAUUAUAUUGCACUUAUCAACAUUAAGUUGCCACAUCUCUGACAAUUGUUCUAGUUUACCUACAUCAUUUACCAUUUGGCUUAUACCUCCUGGAAAAUCAACCCUGUAAAUAGUCAUAUCGGCAUAAUCACAAGGUUAGUUCCCUCCUUUUUACUCUACUCUUUCAAUGCUCUAUGUUGUGGACUUCACCUCUUUACAUAGGUCUAUUUUUUAAUCAUGGAUAAUUUUAAUUUAGCUAGUUCAUGAGAGUUAAGGAGUGUUCAGUCUCUCGCUUUUGGAAGCUCCCCCAGUAGACAACCCUGUUGAACAGGGCCAGCACUACCAUAAGG